UACGUAGGGCGCAAGCGUUAUCCGGAAUUAUUGGGCGUAAAGAGCUCGUAGGCGGUUUGUCGCGUCUGCCGUGAAAGUCCGGGGCUCAACUCCGGAUCUGCGGUGGGUACGGGCAGACUAGAGUGAUGUAGGGGAGACUGGAAUUCCUGGUGUAGCGGUGAAAUGCGCAGAUAUCAGGAGGAACACCAAUAGCGAAGGCAGCUCGCUGGGACGUUACUGACACUGAGGCGCGAAAGCGUGGGGGGCGAACAGG
rnacentral:rRNA from 1 species